rnacentral:rRNA from 1 species
GACGAACGCUGGCGGCGUGCUUAACACAUGCAAGUCGAACGGAGAACCUCUGCGGAGGGGGUCAGUGGCGGACGGGUGCGUAACACGAAGGCAACCUGCACCCGGCUCUGGGAUAACUCCAAGAACUUGGGGCUAAUACCGAUAGUUCACCGCUUCCCCCAUUGGAGGGGGUGGAAUGGAUUUGCGGGUGGGGAGGGGCCCGCGGCCUAGCAGCUUGUUGGGGGGGUAGUGGACUACCAUGGCUAGGCCGGGAAGCCGGCCUGGGCGGGUGACCGGCCACCUUGGGACUGAGAGACGGCCCAGACUCCUACGGGGGGCAGCAGUGGGGAAUAUUGCGCAAUGGGCGGAAGCCUGAUGCAGCAACGCCGCGUGGGGGAUGACGGCCUUCGGGUUGUAAACCGCUUUCGCCUGUGACGAAGCGUGAGUGACGGUACUGGGUAAAGAAGCACCGGCUAACUACGUG